rnacentral:misc_RNA from 1 species
CGCACCUUGCACUUUCUGGUAUUCCGGGAAGUAUGCCUGUUUGAGAAUCGAUGAAUUCUCUCACGUUAAAUUUCGUUUGUUUUGUUUAUUCAAAAUAUUGAAAUUUCAAUGUGGAUAUGGAUCAUCUUUGUGGUAAUUUUUAUUGCAAAGUGAUCUAAAAUGUAUUGUAUUGGCCAAAGGCUCUUGGGGUCUUGAUGUAUGGCUGAAAAGCGGGACCAAUAAGAAUGAGAAUUUUAUUCUCAACUCUUUUUACCCUUCGCUCAUGACUGCCUUCAAGAUAUUUUAAACUCGAGACUUUAAAUGGUUUUCAAUCUCACGAUUCCAACUUCAGACUCAUCACAAUUAGUUAAAAUUUUUAGCUUCUUUUGUUAAUCUGAACACUUGGUCUCAAAUCAGGCAAGAAGACCCGCUGAACUUAA